AGUGAACGCUGGCGGUAGGCCUAACACAUGCAAGUCGAACGGCAGCACAGUAAGAGCUUGCUCUUACGGGUGGCGAGUGGCGGACGGGUGAGGAAUACAUCGGAAUCUACUUUUUCGUGGGGGAUAACGUAGGGAAACUUACGCUAAUACCGCAUACGACCUACGGGUGAAAGCAGGGGAUCUUCGGACCUUGCGCGAUUGAAUGAGCCGAUGUCGGAUUAGCUAGUUGGCGGGGUAAAGGCCCACCAAGGCGACGAUCCGUAGCUGGUCUGAGAGGAUGAUCAGCCACACUGGAACUGAGACACGGGUCAGGCUCCUACGGGAGGCAGCAGUGGGGAAUAUUGGACAAUGGGCGCAAGCCUGAUCCAGCCAUACCGCGUGGGUGAAGAAGGCCUUCGGGUUGUAAAGCCCUUUUGUUGGGAAAGAAAAGCAGCAGGUUAAUACCCCGCUGUUCUGACGGUACCCAAAGAAUAAGCACCGGCUAACUUCGUG
rnacentral:rRNA from 1 species